GGGGAAUAUUGCACAAUGGGGGAAACCCUGAUGCAGCAACGCCGCGUGAGUGAUGAAGGUUUUCGGAUCGUAAAGCUCUGUCUUUGGGGAAGAUAAUGACGGUACCCAAGGAGGAAGCCACGGCUAACUACGUGCCAGCAGCCGCGGUAAUACGUAGGUGGCGAGCGUUAUCCGGAUUUACUGGGCGUAAAGGGAGCGUAGGCGGAUGAUUAAGUGGGAUGUGAAAUACCCGGGCUCAACCUGGGUGCUGCAUUCCAAACUGGGAAUCUAGAGUGCAGGAGGGGAGAGUGGAAUUCCUAGUGUAGCGGUGAAAUGCGUAGAGAUUAGGAAGAACACCAGUGGCGAAGGCGACUCUCUGGACUGUAACUGACGCUGAGGCUCGAAAGCGUGGGGAGCGAAC
rnacentral:rRNA from 1 species